ACUUGCACUUACACUUACAUUACACUGUAAAUUAUAUAAAAAAACACUAAAACAGAGCAAGAAAUCCAUGCGCACUAUGGAUUAAACAGUGUUUCUCAUUGAUAAUUUUAUUGAUCUCCCAGGAUAUUUGGUUUGUGUGUGCAGUUGAGUUCUUGCAAACGUGGCUUGUUUGUUAUCAUAAUUUUAUUUUUUUUUCAUUUUUGUGUUUUUGUCUCAAAAUAGGGUGAGGGACAGACACCAACAUACAAUUUUCCUCUCAUGUCGUCGAUCUUCCCUUUCCACCAACGAUCCUCAAACCGAUCGCCAGCCCACAUCGCCUCUCCGUGUUAGAAAAAGGGUGGGGAUUUUUGCUUCGAGGAUCGGUUGUCAUCCAAGGAAGAAAGGAGCUAAAGGACAAAACAGCCAUGAGCAGUAGAUGAAAACUACUUUUCAACUCGAAAGCCUUGGGGAAAUUUCUUGCAUUCUUGCUGAAAUAAUGGGAUGGGGCAAUAUUCUUAAAGCAUCGAAGAAUUGGCUGGAGAGAAAUAUCCAAGUCAUUGUUUUUACUGAUGGUUGGGGAUGUUGGUUGCCAGGAAUGGGAAUCCCAAUAGGAAAACUCUCUCUAUAGACAACAUUAGGAGCAUUACGUCCCUUUGCAGUAAGUGCUUGCCUGUAGCAAUUGAUUUUGGCACAAACAAUGAGAAGUUGUUGAAUGAUGAGUUCUACAUUAGGCUUGGACAAAAGAGGGUAACUUUAUAGGUAGAGUAAUUUUACUUUAUUCCAUUUCCAAUCGACUGAUAUUUCUUCUUUUCUUUUCUAGAUUUUAAAUCAUUCUACGUCUCGAGAUUUUUGUUUUGUCAUUUGUUGUGGUUUAAGAAUAUGCAGAGCUUCUAUAUGAGUUUAGGACUGCAGUUGAAAAGAACUAUGGAGAAAAGUUCCUUACACAGGUGAUGCACAACUGUUCUCUUUUAUUCGUUCCGGGGAAGAAAACUGCAUGCACAAACUUAAUGGUCAUAUAAAAAUCUUUCAAAUAGAAUAGGUGAUAUAGAGAAACAUGUUGAAAUGGCAAACCAAUUAAAGCAAUUAGUCGAUGAUA